rnacentral:rRNA from 1 species
UACGAAGGGGGCUAGCGUUGCUCGGAAUCACUGGGCGUAAAGGGUGCGUAGGCGGUUCGUUAUGUCCGAUGUGAAAGCCCCGAGCUUAACUUGGGAAUGGCAUUGGAAACUGGCGGGCUGGAGUGCGGCAGAGGGGGGUGGAAUUCCACGUGUAGCAGUGAAAUGCGUAGAGAUGUGGAGGAACACCGAUGGCGAAGGCAGCCCCCUGGGCCGACACUGACGCUCAGGCACGAAAGCGUGGGGAGCAAACAGG